rnacentral:rRNA from 1 species
AACGCUAGCUACAGGCUUAACACAUGCAAGUCGAGGGGAAACGAUGGGAGGGCUUGCCCUCCCAGGCGUCGACCGGCGCACGGGUGAGUAACACGUAUCCAACCUGCCCUCUUCCGGGGAACAACCUUGCGAAAGUAAGACUAAUGCCCCAUGUGUCCUCAGACGGCAUCAGACGAGGACGAAAGAUUUAUCGGAAGUGGAUGGGGAUGCGCCUGAUUAGGCAGUUGGCGGGGCAACGGCCCACCAAGCCGACGAUCAGUAGGGGUUCUGAGAGGAAGGUCCCCCACAUUGGAACUGAGACACGGUCCAAACUCCUACGGGAGGCAGCAGUGAGGAAUAUUGGUCAAUGGGCGAGAGCCUGAACCAGCCAAGUAGCGUGCAGGACGACGGCCCUAUGGGUUGUAAACUGCUUUUGCGCGGGGAUAAAGUGCGCCACGUGUGGCUCAUUGCAGGUACCGCGCGAAUAAGGACCGGCUAAUUCCGUGCCAGCAGCCGCGGUAAUACGGAAGGUCCGGGCGUUAUCCGGAUUCAUUGGGUUUAAAGGGAGCGCAGGCCGCCCCUUAAGCGUGUUGUGAAAUGCCGCGGCUCAACCGUGGCACUGCAGCGCGAACUGGGGGGCUUGAGUGCGCGCAGCGCAGGCGGAACUCGUGGUGUAGCGGUGAAAUGCUUAGAUAUCACGAAGAACUCCGAUUG